rnacentral:lncRNA from 1 species
GAGAUCAUGACAAUGACUCCAGAUAGACCCACACUGCUCCGGAAAUGGAAACUCCUAUUUCUCAACAAAAUCCACCUAAGCUCAAAGGAAGCCAACUCUCAGGGUCUUCCUCCGCUUCUGUUCUCUCAUGCCCCUUGGUGGAGGCUCCCAGAUGGACGCUCAGACACGGAAGGUCCAGGGAGAUGCGUGGAUCUGCCGCCAUGUGGGUGGACCAAGCUGUUGCCUCCAUUGGAAGCCUCUGUCCGGUGCCACAUCCUCCCUGGGUUCCAGUCCCCACCUGCCAGGUUGACAAUUAGGCAAUUUGAUUUACUAAGGAGAAGACAAAGAAAGAAAAGGAGAAAUAUUUCAAGAAAAAAAAGACUGUGAAAAAGAAAAAGUGAAAAAAUAGGGAAUAUAGAAAAAAAAACCGCAAUCAGGAGAGAGAAAUAAAGAAUUCCAGGAUGAUGAGUCUGGAUGGAGAAAGCCUCCGUUUCCCCACUCCAGAAGUCUGAGCUGAGUGAACUCCUUAGCAUUAAGGGAGGUGUCUCUAUGGAGGACUGAAUAUGUCUUGCGAGAGGUGGGGCAGGUGGGAUGGGGGGUGGGGUGGAGUGCUAUCCCAGUUAAGCCUUUAGGUACUAGGUACCCAGGAGGUCUCAUUAAUUCUGGAAUCAUUUUGAUAUAUUAGAUACGCUCAAGGAUGAGCUGUGUGCUGUUUCUCUUGCUGUACUAUGUGGUCCAGAUUCCAGACUCCAGAGCCCUUAGGCAAGCCCAGAACUGUCCCCACAAUCUCUGGGUGGCAGCUGCCCCAAUCAUGGCUGUCCAACCUACAGGAGCAACUAAACAUGGGAUUCCCAGGCAGGGAGGAGAUGCUGUAGGGUGGCGGAACCUGCAGCAUGGAUAGCCACCUACUCUGUCCUCUCUGUCAGGACAGCCUGACCGAGGCCCACAAGUGGCUGCUCACUCCUCCCGGCCUGACUGCACCAGUCUAGACUGGGCUCUUAGCAUCUGUCACCUGGCCUUUGUUGUUUUAAGGAGCACAAUAAUAAUAACAAUAAUUUAAAAAAAAAAAAACUCUUUUGGCUGGGUGUGGUGGCUCACACCUGUUAUCCUAGCACUUUGGGAGGCCGAGGUGGGCAGAUCACUUGAGGCCAGGAGUUUGAGACCAUCCUGGCCAACAUGGUGAAACCCUGUCUCUACUAAAAAUACAAAAAUUAGCUGGGUGUGGAGACAGAUGCCUAAAAUCCCAGCUACAGAUUCUGUCUCCAGAAAAAAAAAAAAAAAAAAAGCCAGGUAUGAUGGCGCACCACCAUAGUCCUAGCUACUCAGAAGGCUGAGGCACAAGAGUCGUUUGAACUCUGGAGGCAGAGGUUGCAAUGAGCCAAGAUCGCACCACUGCACUCCAGCCUGGAUGACAGAGCAAGACUCUGUCUCAAAAAAUAAAUGAAUAAAGAUUAAAAAGAAAUAAAAAACUAUUUUGAGCCAGGCAUAGUGGCUCAUGCCUGUAAUCCCAGCACUUUGGGAGGCUGAGGUGGGAGGAUCACUUGAAGCCAAGAGUUCGAGACCAUCCUGGGCAACAUAGUGAGACUCUGUCUCAAUAAAUAAAAAAAUAAAUAAAUAAAUGAAACUCCUUUGAGGAUCUCAACCAACAUGAGCUGUUUGUAAUUCCAGAAAUAGCCCGGACACUGAGUGGCCCUACCCCCUCAAAGGAUUCCAGGACAGCUCCCACCUUCUUAGAGGGAUGUGGAGGGAGAGCCGGCCCUGGGCAUGUGACUUCUGUGCCCU